rnacentral:tRNA from 1 species
GUAUUUUAAAGUAAAACUACUUUCUUAAUAUCUUCAAUAUUAUGCUUUAAAAAUAAGCUAUUAAAAUA